rnacentral:rRNA from 1 species
GACGAACGCUGGCGGCGUGCUUAACACAUGCAAGUCGAACGAAGAGCGAUGGAAGCUUGCUUCUAUCAAUCUUAGUGGCGAACGGGUGAGUAACGCGUAAUCAACCUGCCCUUCAGAGGGGGACAACAGUUGGAAACGACUGCUAAUACCGCAUACGAUCUAAUCUCGGCAUCGAGGAUAGAUGAAAGGUGGCCUCUACAUGUAAGCUAUCACUGAAGGAGGGGAUUGCGUCUUAUUAGCUAGUUGGAGGGGUAACGGCCCACCAAGGCGAUGAUCAGUAGCCGGUCUGAGAGGAUGAACGGCCACAUUGGGACUGAGACACGGCCCAGACUCCUACGGGAGGCAGCAGUGGGGAAUCUUCCGCAAUGGACGAAAGUCUGACGGAGCAACGCCGCGUGAGUGAUGACGGCCUUCGGGUUGUAAAGCUCUGUUAAUCGGGACGAAAGGCCUUCUUGCGAAUAGUGAGAAGGAUUGACGGUACCGGAAUAGAAAGCCACGGCUAACUACGUG